UACGUAGGGUGCGAGCGUUAAUCGGAAUUACUGGGCGUAAAGCGUGCGCAGGCGGUUUUGUAAGCCAGAUGUGAAAUCCCCCGGGCUUAACCUGGGAAUGGCAUUUGGGACUGCAAGGCUCGAGUGCGGCAGAGGAGACUGGAAUUCCUGGUGUAGCAGUGAAAUGCGUAGAUAUCAGGAGGAACACCGAUGGCGAAGGCAGGUCACUGGGCCGCAACUGACGCUGAGGAGCGAAAGCAUGGGGAGCGAACAGG
rnacentral:rRNA from 1 species